rnacentral:rRNA from 1 species
AGUAACACGUAGCUUAAUCUACCUUUUAGAUUGGAAUACCCAUUGGAAACAAAUAGGCAAUGCCGGAUACGCAUGGAACCGCAUGGUUCCGUUGUGAAAGGCGCUGCAAGGCGCCACUAAAAGAUGAGGGUGCGGAACAUUAGUUAGUUGGUGAGGUAAAUGGCCCACCAAGACUAUGAUGUUUAGCCGGGUCGAGAGACUGAACGGCCACAUUGGGACUGAGAUACGGCCCAGACUCCUACGGGAGGCAGCAGCC